GCCAGUGUGGUGUAGUGGUUUGAGCAAUGGACUAUGACUCUGGAGAUCUGGGUUUGAAUCCCUGCUCUGUCA
rnacentral:tRNA from 1 species